UGGUCAUUUACAAUCGGUGGAAAAAAAAGGUUCAUAAGCUGCCUUCGUUUACCCAUGUGACCGUGGGGGUUAUGUGGCUGUGCGAGACAAAAAGAAACAGACACAUGAGGUC
ensembl:ncRNA C02C6.7 ncRNA